CGGUACGGGUGCGUAACACGUGUGCAACCUGCCUUUAUCUGGGGGAUAGCCUUUCGAAAGGAAGAUUAAUACUCCAUAAUAUAUUGAACGGCAUCGUUUAAUAUUGAAAGCUCCGGCGGAUAGAGAUGGGCACGCGCAAGAUUAGCUAGUUGGUAAGGUAACGGCUUACCAAGGAAACGAUGCAUAGCCGACCUGAGAGGGUGAUCGGCCACACUGGAACUGAGACACGGUCCAG
rnacentral:rRNA from 1 species